rnacentral:rRNA from 1 species
CGAAGCAUGCCGCGGUGAUACGUUCCCGGGCCUUGUACACACCGCCCGUCACACCAUGAGAGUUUGUAACACCCAAAGUCGGUGGGGUAACCUUUUAGGAGCCAGCCGCCUAAGGUGGGACAGAUGAUUAGGGUGAAGUCGUAACAAGGUAGCCGUAGGAGAACCUGCGGCUGGAUCACCUCCUU